rnacentral:rRNA from 1 species
AUGAUGACAUGGAAAAAUGAAACACGCAAGAAAAUUACAUGGAAACAAUGGCGAAUAACUGGCGGACACCUGGCGCAUCGAAUCCGGGGUGUUACACAAUUCAGCCAUGCCUAG